rnacentral:rRNA from 1 species
UACGUAGGGUGCGAGCGUUAAUCGGAAUUACUGGGCGUAAAGGGCGUGCAGGCGGUCUGUUAAGUGCAGGGUGAAAGCUCCCGGCUCAACUGGGAGAGGUCCUUGCAUACUGGCGGACUUGAGGGGGGUAGAGGAAAGUGGAAUUCCCGGUGUAGUGGUGAUAUGCGUAGAUAUCGGGAGGAACACCUGUGGCGAAGGCGGCUUUCUGGGCCCUACCUGACGCUGAGACGCGAAGGCGUGGGGAGCGAACCGG